AUUUCACCGUUCCUCCUCGCCCACGACCGACGACCGGCGCGCCCUUAUGAUUGCUUCCUCCCCUCCACUUCGCUCCUCCCGCCCGGUCUCCGCCUCCGCUUCCACCCCAGCAUUAUCUCAUAUCCCCCGUCCCCGGCGACCGCGGGCAUGGCGGCGGCGACCGAGGUCUACUCUCCGACGCCGGCGGAGCAGCAUCGGGAGCAGGCGGCGUGGCGGGCGGUGGUGGGUUGGCUCGGGCUCCUCCUGCAGGUCCUUCUCCAGGUCAUCCGCGGCGCGCCCUCCUCCCUGGCGAAGCUCCUCAGGUCCCUCGGCCUCCGCCACCCCCUCCUCUCUGCCGCCCCCGCGGUGACCUUCGUGCAGCUCCCCUCCAAGGCCCCCGCCGACGACUUGCCGCCCCUGUCUCCGCCGCCUGGGCGGCUCACGGUACGGACCCAUGUGUUGCCGCGCGAAAGGAUAUAGUCUGCUAUGGUAAGGAUCACCGUGGUGGUUGGGGUUUAUACGAGUUAGUGGUUAACUGCAGCUAAACCAGCUGCGGUUCUAGAACUGGAUCGCUAUCUGCAGACAGGAGUGUCGAGCAAGGUUCAUUCCGAGUAUGAUUUCUUAGGCAUGAUUAACAGAUUAGCACUAUGUCUAUCUUAAUUAAGAAGCAUGGUACUGUACACUACAAAUGUUUGUUUAUUUGUUGUUUUCGAUAUCAAGUCUUCUUCGGUGAGCUUCCUUUCUGACUGCAUAACACAUACAUUUUGGGGGUGUAUCUUCAGGUAGUGUUGGACUUGGAUGAAACAUUAGUCUGUGCAUACGAGUCGUCGAGCCUUACUGCCGCCGUGCGAACCCACGCGGUCGAAGCAGGGCUGCAUUGCUUUGACAUGGAGUGCAUAUCAUCCGACAAGGAUGCCAAAGGCAGACAGAGGGUGAAUCAUGUAACUGUCUUCGAGCGUCCUGGUUUACAACUUACAAGAGUUUUUGCAGAAAACUAAUGAAUUUGCCGAUCUUAUACUCUUCACCGCUGGUUUGGAAGGAUAUGCAAAGCCUUUGGUUGACAGGAUAGAUGCUCACAAUAGGUUCUGUCGCCGUCUCUACAGACCAUCAACUGUUACUACGGAAUAUAGAGACCAUGUGAAGGAUCUUUCUUGUUUGUCCAAAGAUUUCCGUAGAAUUGUGCUUGUCGAUAACAAUCCAUAUAGCUUCCUACUACAGCCGUUAAAUGGGAUACCGUGCCUUACGUUUUCAGCUGGACAGCCCAUGGAUGAUCAGCUUAUGAGAGUGAUAUUUCCGCUUCUCAAGCGCCUCUCUCUCCAAAAUGAUGUGAGGCCGGCAUUGCAUGACGCGUUUCACAUGCCAGAGUGGUUCCAAAGAAAUGGGAUCCCACAAAUUGACCAGGGAAUGUAAGUUUUGCAGCAACUCUGCAACCUGAAUUGGAUUAGUAGGUGAAAGCUCAAAAGCUAGCUGUUGUUCCUCUGGGGGGUAUACUUGUACAGUUAUAUUCGUUUAGGUCCUUCCAUACGAGCCAUUGUUCAACAUGGAGUAACCCUACCCGCAGAGAAGAAAGAUGUACUGUAAUAUCCUAGCUCUGGCAGAUUUUUCUUUCUGUAAUGAACCUUAAUUUAUCAUUGUAUAGCACUUUUUGGUUGCUGAAAGUUCAGACAACCUUCCUGAUGGUUUUACGUGUACCAGGGAGUAAAGGUCUGCAAAGCUUGGUCAGGGUUGUACAUCAGUGAUUAAUUUAUCCUUGUAUAUAGCUCUUUUUGGUUGCUGACGAAAGUCGCUUGUUGAAGUUACAAUGCCUCUUAUUCCGCUUUUACAUAGAGUAACUUCUAAUUUAUUCCAG
rnacentral:rRNA from 1 species